CCUACGGGCGGCAGCAGUAGGGAAUCUUCCACAAUGGGCGAAAGCCUGAUGGAGCAACGCCGCGUGGGUGAAGAAGGUCUUCGGAUCGUAAAACCCUGUUGGUAGAGAAGAAAGUGCGAGAGAGUAACUGUUCACGUGUCGACGGUAUCUAACCAGAAAGCAACGGCUAACUACGUGCCAGCAGCCGCGGUAAUACGUAGGUGGCAAGCGUUCUCCGGAUUUAUUGGGCGUAAAGGGAACGCAGGCGGUCGUUUAAGUCUGAGGUGAAAGCCUUCGGCUUAACCGGAGUAGUGCCUUGGAAACUGGGAGACUUGAGUGCCGCCGAGGCGAGUUGCACUCCAUUUGUAGCGG
rnacentral:rRNA from 1 species